UGAUCUCUCAAAGUAUAGAA
rnacentral:snRNA from 1 species